GAGUUUGAUCGUGGCUCAGAACGAACGCUGGCGGCGUGCCUAACACAUGCAAGUCGAACGAGAAAGGGGCUUCGGCCCUGAGUAAAGUGGCGCACGGGUGAGUAACACGUAGGUAACCUGCCUCUGAGAUUGGGAUAACUCGUCGAAAGAUGGGCUAAUACCAAAUAAGACCACGGGUCUUUCGAGAUCUGAGGUCAAAGGUAGCCUCUAUUUAUAAGCUAUCGCUUAGAGAUGGGCCUGCGCACCAUUAGCUAGUUGGUGGGGUAAUGGCUCACCAAGGCAACGAUCAGUAUCCGGCCUGAGAGGGCGGACGGACACACUGGGACUGAGACACGGCCCAGACUCCUACGGGAGGCAGCAGUGGGGAAUUGUUCGCAAUGGGCGCAAGCCUGACGACGCAACGCCGCGUGGAGGAUGAAGAUCUUCGGGUCGUAAACUCCUUUCGAUCGAGACGAAUGGCCUCCGGGCUAACAUCCUGGAGGAGUGACGGUACCGAGAGAAGAAG
rnacentral:rRNA from 1 species